UACAGAGGAUGCAAGCGUUAUCCGGAAUGAUUGGGCGUAAAGCGUCUGUAGGUGGCUUUUUAAGUCCGCCGUCAAAUCCCAGGGCUCAACUCUGGACAGGCGGUGGAAACUACCAAGCUGGAGUACGGUAGGGGCAGAGGGAAUUUCCGGUGGAGCGGUGAAAUGCGUAGAGAUCGGAAGGAACACCAGUGGCGAAGGCGACCACCUGGACUGAUACUGACACUGAGGUGCGAAAGCGUGGGGAGCAAACAGG
rnacentral:rRNA from 1 species